UUGACCUCAGAUCAGGUAGGAAUACCCGCUGAACUUAAGCAUAUCAAUAAGCGGAGGAAAAGAAACCAACAGGGAUUGCCCUAGUAACGGCGAGUGAAGCGGCAACAGCUCAAAUUUGAAAUCUGGCGCAAGCCCGAGUUGUAAUUUGUAGAGGAUGUUUCUGGCGACGUGCCUUCCGAGUUCCCUGGAACGGGACGCCAUAGAGGGUGAGAGCCCCGUACGGUUGGAUGCCUAGCCUCUGUGAAACUCCUUCGACGAGUCGAGUAGUUUGGGAAUGCUGCUCUAAAUGGGAGGUAUACGUCUUCUAAAGCUAAAUACCGGCCAGAGACCGAUAGCGCACAAGUAGAGUGAUCGAAAGAUGAAAAGCACUUUGAAAAGAGGGUUAAAAAGUACGUGAAAUUGUUGAAAGGGAAGCGUUCAUGACCAGACUUGGGCAGGUUGAUCAUCCGUGGUUCUCCGCGGUGCACUCUGCCUGCCCAGGCCAGCAUCAGUUCGCCCCGGGGGAUAAAGGUUUCGGGAAUGUGGCUCCUCCGGGAGUGUUAUAGCCCGUUGCGUAAUACCCUGGGACGGACUG
rnacentral:rRNA from 1 species